rnacentral:rRNA from 1 species
UACGUAGGGGGGCAAGCGUUGUCCGGAUUUAUUGGGCGUAAAGAGCGUGUAGGCGGCCAGGUAGGUCAGCUGUGAAAACUCGAGGCUCAACCCUGAGACGCCGGUUGAAACCAUCUGGCUAGAGUCCGGAAGAGGAGAGUGGAAUUCCUGGUGUAGCGGUGAAAUGCGCAGAUAUCAGGAAGAACACCCGUGGCUAAGGCGGCUCUCUAGUACGGUACUGACGCUGAGACGCGAAAGCGUGGGGAGCGAACAGG